GACGAACGCUGGCGGCGUGCUUAACACAUGCAAGUCGAGCGGAAAGGCCCUUUCGGGGGUACUCGAGCGGCGAACGGGUGAGUAACACGUGAGUACUCUGCCCUGGACUCUGGGAUAGCCACCGUAAACGGUGAUUAAUACCGGAUAUGACACCUUGCGGCAUGGUGGGGUGUGGAAGGUUUUUUCGGUCCAGGAUGUGGUCGCGGCCUAUCAGCUUGUUGGUGAGGUAAUGGCUCACCAAGGCUUUGACGGGUAGCCGGCCUGAGAGGGUGACCGGUCACACUGGGACUGAGACACGGCCCAGACUCCUACGGGAGGCAGCAGUGGGGAAUAUUGGACAAUGGGCGGAAGCCUGAUCCAGCAACGCCGCGUGAGGGAUGACGGCCUUCGGGUUGUAAACCUCUUUCAGUACCGACGAAGCGUGAGUGACGGUAGGUACAGAAGAAGGACCGGCCAACUACGUGCCAGCCGCCGCGGUAACAC
rnacentral:rRNA from 1 species